AAUUGGCUGAACGCGGAAGGGCGGAGCUCAAUUCAGCAAGUGGCUAUCGAAGCCGGAUAUGACGAUUCCGGAAAUAGCUAGCCAAAGUUCGUUCUGGCUUGUUCUUUCAGUGGGCGGGGUCGAGAGGGCUGGAUUCACCCAGUCACCACCUUCUCCACUACUCCAAAAGCCCAGCUCCUCCCUUCCGGCCACAAUCAACUGGUCGCCCCCUGCCGCCCCUACAGUGUGACACACACUAGAGCGGCCUGUGCGUGGAAGCUCCACCCCGCUACUUCCCCAGCCAACUCCGACAUCCGGGGCUUACGCCACGGCCCCUCCCUCCUGGCGCUUUCAUCCUUCUCAGUGCGGCCUUGGGCGGGGUUUCGUACGCUCACGUCCACUUCCCCCGGGCACAGACCGAGGUCGCCCUUGGGGGUCCCUCGCUCUAGGACACGGAAACUGGCACCCCCACCAGCGCUGCGACGGCUCCCGCCCUUGAUCUCAGCCCCUGUGCCGAAACCUCGGGAGCUCGCGCUCCGUUUUGUCUCUGCACCCCCUCACCGCGUCCCCGCUUUUCACCCCUUCCCUAUCCCUAGCAUGUCCAACCUGCCGAGGGUCGUCCUGAAACCCCCCGAGGACGUUUCAGGCAGCGCCGCCCCGCCAUGUAUUGCAGGCUGCAUGUACCAAGUAGUUCAGACGACUGGCCUGGAUGGAAAAAAUCUUCUGAAAUUGCUUCCAAUUCCCAAUUCCCCUGGAAACCUUCUGCCACUAGUUCAAUCUUCAGUCACAUCUGAUACUUCAAAAGGGAAUAUAUCAAAUCCAGUUCAUGUUACUAUUCAGACUCAACUUGCUAGCACUCCUACCACUGCAUCCAUUCAGUUUCCUGUUUUUCAGGCAACCAAUUCUGGAAAUUAUUUCCUUUCAGCAACAGUUGAUAAAUCUGAAAAUGCUAGAGUAGCCUCGGUGGGGAAAGAAAGUUUGGCUUCAGCUUCAACAGCUCAGAGUAAUUCUAUGAAAGUUGAAAGACUGGCCUUGCAAAAAAUCGCCGUUUCUCCCUCAACUACUCAAGGUGACACAACAUACAUGUUAGUAAAUGCUAAGAACCUACCAGUGACUGUAAAGUCUCCUGUAUUACCAUAUGGACACCAUUUACAAAUUCCUGCCAAUGCUGAAGUAAAAUCUCUACCAGCAUCAUCUUUGCCACCGCCAAUUCAGCAGAAGAUACUUGCAGCUGCAGCGACAAACACCUCAGGAACAGCAGAAGCUUCAAAAAUACCAACUGUUAUUUAUGUGUCUCCAGUAAAUACAGUAAAAUCAGUAGUUCCUAAGACCUUUAAAAAUAUUUGUCCCAAACCUCCAAAUCCCACCGAAGCUGCAAAGCCCAUGAUUCUAAACACUUCACAAACACCUGUGAAAAAUCCUGCCACAGAUGUAGCUAAUAAUGAAGGCCAGCAAUCUCGAGAUACACCAAUGAAGUGGGUUGUAAAAGAAAAUCCACAAUGUUCCCCUUGUCUUGUUCCUGUCAAAUCUUCAAACAACAUGGCUUCAAAAAUCUUAAAAACAUUGAUGGAUAUGAAGAAUGUUGAAACUAGUUCUUUAAAUAUGCCUCCAUUAUGUUCAGGCACCUCGGGUGGAACUCAAGCAAAAAUCACACCCAUUAAAGAUAAUGCUUUGGUUAUGUUUAAUGGGAAAGUCUAUCUAUUGGCUAAGAAGGGGUCAGAAGUUCUGCCAUCUCAAACGGAUCAACAGAAUUCUGUUGCUUCUGAUGCAUCACCAAGAAAAGACAUGUCACAAACACCUAAUUCCAAUUCGGUCACAAAAAUCACUAAUGAGGUUGUAAAUAUUGUCUUGGCAAAAAAUAAGACUAUCCCCCAGAAGGAGACAAAGUUGAUUUCAGAUACACAGCUUGCUUCUGAGCCUGUUCCAAGUUUAGAGAAGAAUAAUAAAGUGGAGUGUACCUCUCUUUCUGCACAAAGUCCACAGCAUGUUACGCAACCCCUUUGUCUAGAGCAGUGUAAGACUGCGCACAUAAAACUAAACUUACCAGAUGUGGUCAGUCCAGCGCAAAAUGCCAAAAAAGAAACAAGUGUCAACCACACGAACGAGAAAAGUUCUUCUGAUGAUACAACUGUUACAUCUAAACAUUGUGUUAACACAGAUCAAGAACCAAAGAACCAGGGUGAGAUGGAGUUUGUAUUGGACACAUAUACUCACAGCAGAAGUCAGAGGGAAUCAUGUCGGAAGGAGUAUGCUGAAUUAAGAAAGAAUUUUGGUAUCACAAAAGAUUUGAGAGUGCGCCUCACCCGAAUUCCUCAAUUUGACUCCACAAGUUUAUGUUCCCCUACCAGUUUGACAAACAAUAUUUCUUCCAAAGAGUCAAAGAUAAUUGUGGAUCUAACAUCUGAGAAAGAGGAAGAAAGCCAGGAGCUUACAUUACAACAGGACUUGGAUAAGAAAAGAAAAGCAAAAACUGUUAUGAAGAUAGACAGUACCAAGAAGAAGAAAUCUGGGAAUGAUGUGAACUCAUCUAUGGACACAGGAACUGAUCACACCAUUCCUCAAGUUCUUAACAGUAUAUUACCCAUUUCAGCUUUAUCACCACAGAGUAAUAAUCUCAUUGGUUCCAUGAAGUCUUGUCAAGAGAAUUCUCCUGAACUAGAACUACAUGCCCCAGGUGGCCUUGACAGAGGUACAUGUAGUCCAACCUCUGUUUCUUUUGAUCAAGACCCUCCAGAUAGUCAAGAUUGUUAUAUUGAUGAGAGUUUCCCUACAACAUUGCCAGAAUUGGAUGAAACUAUACGAGAUGAAAAAAUAAAAAGACUUAAGCAGCUACUGAAAGAAAGAGAAGCAGCUCUUGAAGAAAUUCGUAAAAAGAUGCAACAAAGUUAAAAAUGUAGCUGUUGACUUGAAAAGAUCUUAAUGAAGUGUUUAUUUCCUCGCUUGUGGUUUUGUAUAAAUUAUUUAAAUGUACAGGAACCUCCCAAACACUGAGCUAGCUCUAGCAAUGUGUGCACCUACCUGAUCAUCUAUGUGAACAUCCCUGGAAAGUAUGUUGCCAAACUUUUUCAAGUUAAAGAAUUUGCCAUCAGUGUGGUAGCUGAUCUCAAUGCCAUUUUCAUCCUCAUUGAAGGUAUCUGACAACAUCACCGAAAACUUCUUGUUAAAAAGCAUGGAAGUAAAUUACAAAGUCCUAUUUCACUCCAUUGGUGUCUGGGAAAGCACGAAAGCAUUGUUCAUUAAGCAGAACCCAGGUAAUCAUGGCAUCAUGAAACUUGCAUAUAUUGAUGAACUUCUCCAGGCAAAAUUUGCCAUAAUUUUCUACAAUCCCUCAUAACUGACAGUAUCACAAGGCUUGGUCAUAUCAAUGAAUGUUGUGUACAGACCUCUAUUUUGCUAUAGGUAUUUCUCCUAAAGUUGAAAAAGCAAAAAAACACUAUACUGACUAUUCUUCGACUCUUUCUGAAGCCUUACUGACUCUCAGGUAGAUCGUCAUCUUCCAGGUGAAGGAUCAACUUAUUAAGGAGGAUUCUGGUAAGAAUCUUGCCAGUUGUGACUAAGAGAAAGACCCCCCCCCAUUUUGUCACAGAAUAAUCUAUUUCCUUUAUAUUUAUAGAGAUGGAUGUUGAAGGUAUUCUUCAACUUCUAGGGGAUCUCCUUCUCUUGCCGUAUAAACCAGAAAAUUUCCAUCAGCUUUUGUAUGAGCAGUGAACUCUCUUGUCUUUCAAAUCUCAGCUGGAAUAAAAUCAUUUUGCCACAUUAGAGAAGCCUAAUGGUGUUUAAAACUUCUUUAGUUAAAAGGUAGACCACAAUUGAAUCUAAUAUAAGGUAGAGGAUCAGUGGCUCCAGCAUUGAUUGAUGAGAGUCUAUUGAGAACACAAUGGAAGUAUUCAGUCCAUCUCUCCAGGAUCAUCUCCUUAUCCCUAAUAAAUAUGGCCAAAUCAACUUUGAAGAGUUGAGAUGCACUGUAAGUCUUUGGCCCAAAAAUAGCCUUCAGGGCAUCAUAAAAGUGCAUUGGAUUGUUAUUGUUGGUAUAAAACUGAAUUUCAUCUGAGCCAAGAAUCUUGAUCUCUUUAAGCUUUGCUCACAGUUUAUUUUUGAUGGAGUUAAGCACUGACUUCUCAAAAAAACCCACAAACUAUUCUGCUGGUAAAUCAUGUAGAGUUCUCAUUUUUUGUUUAUCAGCUCCUGAAUUUCCCCAUCAUUUUCAUCAAGUAAAACUUGAUGUUUGCAAGUGUUUUAACCCCAGAUGAGUAAGUGCAGCACUGUAUACCAAAUCUCUGAAAGCUGUCCACUCACUUUUUGUUCCACGGUUGCCAACUUUGUGUUGGCUCAGCUUUACCUCCAAAUUAGUAAUGAACACUUGGAGAAAUACUCUAAUCUGUUAGCAUUAAGAACAUUGUCUUGCCUCGGGAUUGCCACUUUCCUGUUUAAUUUAGAAAAGAUAAAUCUAUCACUAGUCCAGCACUCUGUGCCACAUAGCACCUUCAUUAUUCUCACAUCCUGGUUAUCUCUUCUCUUUACAGUGAUAUAAUCUCUUAAAUGCCAAUAUUGUUCUGUAAGGAUGAAUCCACAAAAUUAUUGCAUUUAGUUAAAUGGAAGAUAGUGUUAGUAAUUGGAAUUAUGGUCAUGAGACUCGUAAGUCUUUAGUAGUAAGUGACCAUUGCUAUUGUUAUCUCCAGCUCCAUUACUCCCAACAACUCCCUACCAUGAUAGUCUCUGCCUACUUGGGUGUUAAAGUCAUCCAGAAUUAUAAGCUUGUCAUCUCUUGGUACAUUGGUGAUGGUGGCCUCCAGAUCUUCAUGAAUAUUUUUUUUUUUACUUCAACAGGGUUUGUUAUGGUUGGAGUAUACACACAGAUGAUGGUAGUAUAAUGCUUUCCUGCAAGAGGAAAUCACAUUGCCACAAGACUGUUGUUCAUUCUUUUUGGGAAACAUACAAGCUUAUUGAUCAGAUUAAUUUUGAAUGAAAAAUCUAUGCCACUUCCUGGCUCUCCCCAUCACUGUGGCCACUCGAGAAAAAAUGUAUAUCCAAUUCCACCUUUGGGAAUUUGGCCGUCAUGUAUCAGUCUUGUUUCACUCAGACUGCAAUUUGGAUGGGGUAGCUACUAAAUUUUCUUUCCCAAGAGCUGUUCAUCUUUCAGAUCUACUGGAUUUUAUGUUGUCCAUCAAUGCGCACAUAUUCAAUGUACUGAUGAUGAGUAGAAUUAUCUUUGCAGAAGUUUUUGUACCUUUUUUUGGCAUUUUCACUGCAGGUGGUAUUGUCACCUGCUGCGGUAAGCAGCCCAGAGUUGGGUGAAGUAGACAAUUUUUAGGGAACUUUUUCUAGCUCUUUUCUCCAUGCCAGAAGUUGAGCAGUGCAGACCUUUAAAAAGGCUACUUAGACACCCAAGGGACUGCUGAAUCCUACUUCUGCUUCAGCCAGUAAAAAGACAACCCUAUAGUCUGAACUGUCUGGUUGUAAGGUUGUGACUACAGACCCCAGUGAUCUGUACCUGCUGCUUCAUCACUUGCCUGUUGCCACAGGGCUUUGAAGUGGGUAAAAAUGGCAUGGGUGAUGACUUUUGAUUCAUGCAUUAACUGGAUUUAAGUGAGGCAGAGUUGUGCAAAGUUUGCUAGUCUAGUAAUCUCUCCCAGUCAUUAGAGUCCAGUGGCAAGACCCAAGAAUAAAGAUGACUGGCAGUAGCCUGAGAUGCAAGGAUGACUCGGGCUUCCUUAAGGAGCUCUGAGUGCUCCACAAUGCCUGCUUCAGCUGUUUCCAUGGCCAGUGGAACAAAUUGUUCUCAUCUGCCCAUUCUCCCAGGGGAAGUCUUUACAUGCUUGAGGGAGACACCCCCUUAACUCAUUGAUGGGUUUGAGACCUCUCAGUUAUCGUUAACCUAGUUUAGCCUGUCUGCCAAAAUGGUUUCCAGGUUCUCACUGCUGUGCAUCCUACAGCCUCUUGGAGCCACAGAUAAGAGUUGGGUGAAUCAAAUGAACACCAGAGGUGGAAAACAGCUCUGAAAAGGACUCCAACUGACCUCACAUCUCACAAGGUGCUAGUUUUUCCUGAACACCCUACACUCCAGUCAAAUGGUUUAAAAAAAAAAAAGGGGGGCUUAAAAAUCCAUUGAAAAGAAGAACAUCUUAAAAAGUAGAAUUGUUCAAAUGGGAAAAGAGGUACAAAAUGUCACUGAAGAAAAGAGCUCCUUGAAAAGCAAAAUUGGUCAAAUGGUAAAAGAGGCACAGACAUCUACUGACGAGAACUUCUUGAAAAGUAGAAUUGUCAAAAUGGAAAAAAAAAAAGGUAAAAAGUCUUACUAAAGAAAAUAAUUCCUUAAAAAUUAAAAUUGGACAGGGGCAGCUAGGUGGCAAAAUGGAUAGAGCAUCAGUCCUGAAGUCAGGAGGAACUGAAUUCAAAUCUGGUCUCAGACACUUAACAUUUUCUAGCUGUGCCUGGGCAAGUCACUUAACCCCAAUUGCCUCAGUUCCUCCCCCCCCGCCCCCAAAAAAAUCGAAUUGGGUAAGCAGAAGCUAAUGACUCCAUAAGACAUCAGUAAUCAAUAAAACAAAGUCAAAUGAGUGAAAAAAUAAGAAAAUGUGAAAUAUCUCAUUGAAAAAACAACUAAUUUGGAAAAUAGAUUGGGGAGAGAUAAUAUGAGAAUUCUUAGACUCCCUAAAAGUCUUUAUCAAAGAAAGAAGCUAGAUAACAUAUUUCAAAAAAUUAUCAAGGAAAAUGAUCCUGAUAUCUUAGCUCCAAACACUAAUGCAGAAACUGAAGCUCUUGAAAGACAUUUUAAAUUGGGAUGCUAAUGAACUAUUGGUGGACUAGUGAACUGAUCCAACCAUUCUGGAGAACCAUUUAGAACUAUGCCCAAAAAGUAUAAAAGUGUGCAAACCCUUUGAUCCAGCAAUAUUACUACUAGAUUUGUAUCUCAAAAAUGAAAGAAAAAGGAAAAGGAACUGAUAUGUAUAAAACAAUAUCAGUUCUUUUUGUGGGGCAAAGAAUUGGAAAUUGAGGGGAAGCUCAUUAAUUGGAAAAUAGCUGAAUAGGUUGUGGCAUGUGAUUGUGAUUGAGUAUUAUUAUUCUAUAAGAAGUGACGAUAGGCGUGGUCUCAGAAAAAAACAUGGUAAGAUCUAUGUGAACUGAUACAAGGUGAAGUAAGAAGAAAUGAGUAAAUGCAAUACAAUAAUGAUGAUCAACUGUGAAAUACUUGGCUAUUUUGAGAAUACAACAAUUCAAGACAAUUCCAAAAUACUUUUGAUGAAAAAAUGCUAAAAACACCCAGAGAAAGAAUUGAUAACUCAGUGCAAAUUUAAGUUUUUUCACUUUAUUUUUCUUGCUUUUUUAUAUAUGGCUAAUAUGAAAAUAUGUGUUGGAGGGUGGAGCCAAGAUAACAGAGAGUAGAUAGGUCUUUGAGCUCUUCGUGGCUUUCCUCAGAAUCAACACCAGAUCAAGCCUUUGAACUGGUUUUGGAGUAAUAGAAUCCACAAAUAUUUGGAUUUAACAAGUUUCUAGCAGAAGGUUAUUUUGGAAGAACUUUGAGAAAAGUCUGUAUCAAUUGGGCUACAGAAGGAGGUGCCCAGUGUAGGCACAGUACAAGGAGACCCAGAGCAGAGAAACCUCUACACACCAAGGGAAUCUACUGGAAAACUCUUAGCCAAAAUACAGCAGUGUUGGCUACUCUGUCCUUGUUCAGAAGCCAGUGGAUAAGCACACUAGCGUGAGACCUUCAACACAAUUACCAAAGGCAAAUAGUGAGCCCCUGAAUCCCAGCAUAAGAAGUGGGACUGGCCAUGCCCACCCAACUUGGGAAGGUAGCCAGCAGUACCAGCCCUCCAGGAUAGUGUGAAGCCACUGUUGCCUGUAAAGGAUACUUGGAACAAUUUCCCCUUUGCCCUAAGAGCACACCUCAAUCUUUAAAAUGAGCAGAAAAACAAAAAGAGCUCUAAGGAUAGAUAGUUAUUGUGGAAACAGGGAAGAACAUAUCUCAAACCCUAAGGACACUAAGGGGAAAACAUCUCCAGAUGAAGCCUCAAAAGAUGAUAUAUGUUGGUCUCCAACUCAAAGGAUUUUUUUGGAAGAAUUCAAAAAGAAUCUUAAAAGAGAUUUGGAAGAAAAAUAGAAAAAGGAAAUGAGAGCUUUGCAGGAGAGUUUGAAAAAGGAAACACAAAUUAUUUGAAGAAAAUUUUAAAAUUGCAUUUGGUGAAAUGGUAAAAGAAAACUACUCCUUGAAGAAUAGAAUUAUAUGAAAUAGAAACACAGAACAGCUUCCUAAAAAAUAGAAUUGGUGAAAUGGAAAAAAAAAAAAAAACAACAAAACAACUCAUUUAAACUUCAGUUGGCUAAAUGAAAAAGGAGAUAAAAAAGCUAACUGAAGAAAAUUGUCCACUGAAAAUUAGAAUUGAACAAAUGGAAAUGAAUGAUUCAAUGAGACAUCAAGAAUCAGUCAAAUAAAAGAAAAAAAAGAAGAAAAUGUAAAAAAAAAAAAAAUGAAAAAAGAAAAAACGAAUUGGAAAAACAAUUGAGCUGGAAAAUAGAUCCAGGAGAUUUUUUUUCUUUUUUUUUUAUCAUGGUUUUCAGGUAAUCCAAUAAUUCUUAGAUUGUCUGUCCUGAAUCUAAAAACAUUUUUCAAGAAAUCAAGGAAAAUUACCCUGAUAUCUUAGAACCAGAGAGUAAAACAGCCAUUGAAAAAAAUCCAAUAAUCUCCUGAAAGAGACCCCAAAAUAGAAACUCCAAGGAAUAUUGUAACUAAAUUUCAGAAUUAUUAGAUCAAGGAAAAAGUAUUGCAGACAGCCAGAAAGAAACAAUUCAAGUAUCAAGGAGCCACAAUCAGGAUUAACCAGGACCUAGCAGCUUCCACUUUAAAGGAUUGAAGGGCCUGAAAUAUGAUAUUCUGAAAGGUAAAGGAGCUUUGGACUACAAAAAUCAAUUGUUCCACAAAAUUAAGCAUUAUCUUUUAGGUAAAAUUUUAAUUUAUUUUUGAUGAAAAGACCAGAGCUGAUCAGAAAAUUUGAUUUUCAAAUACAGAACUCAAGAGAAGGAUAAAAUAAAAAGGGAAGAACAAGAAAAACUAACUCUUGAGAACUGUAUCUUUGUUAAGGGUAUACUUAGAGGAUGUAGGUAUGAUUUGACUUUAGUGUGAUGAUAUAAAAGAGAAACUAGGAGUGGAAAAGGGAUUGUACUGAAAGAAGAGGAAAGGAGAAGAAAUAAAAUGGGGUAAAUUAAAUCACAUGAAAAGGCAAAAAAAAAAA